GUAGGUGAACCUGCGGAAGGAUCAUUAAAAAUAUCCCACACAGCCAGAUGGGCUCUAAACUACGUAAUGCCGGAAAACCGAUAUGUCUCACGAGAGCUCACCGGGCUUGUAGAGAUCAGUUCCGAUAGGUCGCACAGUGGCUCACUGGGCCUGUGGACUGUGGAGAUCGGUUCCGGUACUCGUUACUUCAAACCAGUGUGAACCUCCCGUUGCUUCGGCGGCAUGCUUCGUGCUGUCAGCCCGUCCGAGGCCCACCGAAACCACUUCUGUAAACUUCUGUCAGUAUACGAAAAGUAAAUCGUUAAAACUUUCAACAACGGAUCUCUUGGUUCUC
rnacentral:misc_RNA from 1 species